AGGACGCCAGGGUGGAAGAAACUUUCUCUGUAGAAGGCAUACGACCAUAAUGUUUGAGCCCUUGCCUCGUCGCAACGCUAGUACGCCAGCCGAAGACACAGACGUCCAACCCCGUGAACACUGGAACGUAACUCAAUGGUGGAGCUUUCCCAUGACCAAGAGAUGAACGCUAAACUUGAUAGUUUUUUUUCCUCCUCCUUCCUGCCUGCACUGUGCUAAGAAAGUCAGUAUACAACAAAACAAAGGAUCGCAUUUCACAGA